rnacentral:rRNA from 1 species
UACAGAGGUCUCAAGCGUUGUUCGGAUUCAUUGGGCGUAAAGGGUGCGUAGGCGGCGCGGUAAGUCGGAUGUGAAAUCUCGGAGCUUAACUUCGAAACUGCAUUCGAUACUGCCGUGCUUGAGGACUGGAGAGGAGACUGGAAUUUACGGUGUAGCGGUGAAAUGCGUAGAUAUCGUAAGGAAGACCAGUGGCGAAGGCGGGUCUCUGGACAGUUCCUGACGCUGAGGAACGAAAGCGUGAGGAGCGAACAGG